ensembl:lncRNA
GUACAUACUGGCACGUACAUCGUACAAUACGUUGAUCAUUUCCGAUGGUUGCGCCGUACUUUAAACCACGUUGACGGGACUCUCGCUGCGUACAAAAGAGCGUUCUACUUGCGUUGCGGGCACAUUUCUGACCAUCAGUGAUGGCUGAAAAUCAUUUCAACGUGGAAGACAAUUUGGCAUUUCUUCAAGGGAUCCAAGCACCUGAAUAUGGCCGAGUAUGUUUGAUUUAAUAUCGAUACUGCUUAGGGUUCUUUGGUACUUCAGCUUUUGUACGUUCUAAAUAUCUGGUGCCAUUAAUUGCCACAGAGGUUAAACCCUACCAAAUUGAAUAACGUUAAACAACGACUUUGGUGCUGAGUUACCAGCUAGAUAAUAUCAAAGCUAAAAUAAUGGCAGACUUUCCCACAUGUUACAGUAGAAGAAACUCUAGAACUGUACAAGGUUAAAAAGGUAACAUGUCGUUUGUCCCAAGGUGUCUGCUUCCUCACCCAGAGCCAGACCUCCACCUCCUCACUCAGAGCCAGACCUCCACCUCCUGUCAGAAGUCCUCCAGAACAGCUGAACAGCGAGAGAGGCUGGGGAACGGGGGCUUGUGGUGCCAGGAUGGACCGGAGACUGAGGCUGGAGACCAGGGACCGGACCAGAGGGUAACCAUCACCAAGCUCAUCUGAAACACUAAAAUCCUCAGAUUAGGUCUGGAUCAUUUUAUGACUUUAAAUCUGUGCCAAGCUGUGAUUUGUUAAUUCAUACCAGGGUUAUGUAUAAGUCCUAUGAGCCAUUAUUGUUACUAGUGUUGCUACGACCGUAGUGGAUGAAUUGCUGAACGCGUCAAUUCGUAGACGUUAUCUCAAUGGUUUUUUAUUAUUUUUUAUUUUUUUGUAUGUUUAAAUUCGUCUUCCCUUUUGCAAUUGAUCCUCAGAUGCAGGAGGUGGGGUGUGUUGCGUCCCCAGGUGAUUUACUGCUGAGACCAACUGUGUUUGUAACCAGACCAGGAAUCCAUGGCUGAUGGAGGAGGCCGUGCUGAAGGCCCUGCCUGGUGGAGGAGCUGAUGGAGGCCCUGCCUGGUGCAGGAUGUCUGUCCUGGGGUAGAUGGAGCCUCACUCUGAAGUGACCGUCACACUCACUGCCACUCAUCAUAGAAUACUGCUACCACAAACUACCGGCGUUUGUUAAAAUACCAGACAACUACAUCUGUUACACCACAUGUUGAGGCAAGACCUUCGCUGUUUGUUCCAGACCAGGACUCUGUCUGAGGAGAGCUGAUGGAGGAGCUGAGACGCUGGAGGACGACUAGGAAUCGAUCAACAAGGACUCCUCGUAAGUUUGUUUACUCAACAUGGUUGACUUAAAGGGCAAUAUACACCUGUUACUUUGACAUGCGAUAACAAACUACCGCUGUGUUUUCUUACUAGAACGUGUUUCUAGAGUGGAGGCGAGCUGGUAGGGGAGCCGUGAAUCUGGAGGAUGACCAUCACUCUACCAACAAGGAUUGUAUAUUUGUUUUAACCUAACAAAGUGGAAAUAAAGGGCUUAAAAAUAAGAUCAACUACAUGUUUGUUACCAGACGUUGGGGCAAGACUUGCACUGGUUGUUCCAGACCAGGACUCUGGCUGAGGAGAGCUGAUGGAGGAGCCAAGACUCUGGAGGACGACAUCACUCUACCAACAAGGAUCCUUGUAAGUUUGCAUAAAGUAAACAGAGUGGACUUGUUACGCAGGAUUAGUUUGUCCAGUACAAGUUAAGGCAUACUACUGUGGUUGGUUACCAGACAAACUACAGCUGCUACUUUGUUCGGCGCCAUUGGAGCCCAACUUCUCCUGUGUUUAUGACCUUACAUUAGAGCCAAAUUACUACUGUUACGUUACAUGAGACAAAUUACAUUUGUAACCAGAACAGGAAUCUGGAGGACUGACGGAGAAGCUGUACCUCUGGAAGGCGAAUCCUGAGGACAACCAGGACUCUACCAUCAAGGUUUCCUCGUAAGUUUGCAUUAUCUGGACAUAGUGGACUGGGUUGGGGGUUGAACUCUCAGACCAAUGGUGCUGGAUUCCAGUCCUCAGAAUGCAGUGAUGCGUCCUUGAGCAAGGCGCCUUAAAGCCUGCCUGCUCCUUUAUGAAGUCUCUUUGGUUCAGAUAAUGUUGCAUCUUUGAAUAUUGAACCUAAUCCAUGUCCUUGUUUGGUCAGGGGCAGACACACCUGAGCUGAACCUCACCUGAUCCUGUUUGGUCGGGGGCAGACACACCUGAGCUGAACCCCACCUGCUCCUGUUUGGUCGGGGGGCAGACACACCUGAGCUGAACCCCACCUGAUGCUGAUACCCUGCUGGUCCUGUCUCAGUUCAUCUGAGCCUCGUCCUCCAGAAGACCUGCUGAGCUCAGCGGUCUGAGGCUGAUAGAUCAAUGACCUCCAGUGGGAGUGACCUUCUUGACCCCACGUGUACCUGUGUGCUUCCACACGCCUUUCCCUCACGUCCGUCACUAACCUCACUACUUCCUAACCUCACUACUUCACUACUCUCUACUCCUUCCCCUUCUUCUUCCUUCUCCGUGGUUCGAACCUUUACUCUGAAGGAGUGCCUUCUUGAACCUUUACACUGAAGAAGCGUCUUCCUGCCCUGAGAGGGUUCAGCGUUAGGGUUUAGAGUCAGGGUUUAGAGUCAGGGACAGAGCUGGUCAGGGAGGAAUGGUUUUACACAAACCUCUUCACUUGCUUUCUGAAUGGUGGUGACAUUUUGAAAUGUUUCCUUUGGGAAAAUGUUUUCCUCUGCUUUCCUUUACAAAAAUAUGUGUCAAACUUCUGUAGUGUUUUAGUUUAUAUAUUAAAAAUCCUACAUUGACUUCUGCAUGUUUGGUGCGGUUCAUUUAAUUGUCUUUUAACUUGGGUAAUGUCUAGCUAAACUCCUGCAAUACAUUGAAUAUACAUGAUGAAUGAUAUUCAGCAAUGUUCACAUAAUCAGUUUUGUAAAAAUAUAAAAUAUCCAUAUUGCUACUAAAUUCAAGCCUAUUCAUGUAUUUAACAAUGUACAUACUGCCCCAGCAGGCCAUUUUCUGCUACUACAACAUGUUCAAAUCACCAACCCGGUCUCACGUCAAUGUAGGCAGCUACGUUGGUUCAAACGGAAAAUGUAGUUUGGUGUGAGACUGUUGUCCAAAACUGUCCAGCAGAGAGAGCUGUCACAUUAAUUAAUUAUACCGGAAUGUGUGUAUUUACAUUUUCGAAUAUUGAACCUAAUGUGCUGGCCUAGUUUGUCUGCAAAUAACUCUGCCUCCAGCAACAGGAUUUGUCGAAACAUAUCAAGAGAAAGAAGCAAAAGCCCAGUUCACCAGAUCUGAGGUCAGCUGACGUCAGAUUUUGGAUCAUGAAUGUAUUGAGUGAACGAGGUCUGAGCUAAAUAUUAACCACUUGGUGCGUUUCCUGGAGCUCAGAGGACGGCAGGACGCAUGUUUACCUGGUCGAUAAGGCCCUGAACGCAGACCCUGAACCCAGAACCUAAACCCAGACAUCCAAAACACAGACCCUGAAUCCAGAACUAAAGAAAAUAGGCCUAUUUAAGUCACCAUUUGAGGCAUCAAAUAAAAUUAGCCAAACACUUGCAUCACAAUCAUUUAUUUGAUGUAUAUACACACACACUAUAUAUAUAGUGUGCAUAGGAUAUAUAUAGCUCUGGACUACCACCAUCCAGG